AGUCCAAUCGCAAGAUCCGCCACAUCCUCCGUCAACACAUCGGGCGUAUUCGUAACCCUAAUCCCCUUCUCCUUGCACUUGGCGAGAUCAACCUUAUCGAGCCCGACGCUGAAGCAGGCGACGAUUUCCAGUCGCGGCAGCGCCUCGAUCAUCUCGGCGUCCGCACCGGACGAGGCGUUGCCAACGAUCGCGCGGAUGGAAUCGGCGUGGGAGCGGAGGAAGCUG
rnacentral:misc_RNA from 1 species